rnacentral:rRNA from 1 species
GACGAACGCUGGCGGCGUGCCUAAUACAUGCCUAGACGACAGAGUUGCGAACGGGGGAGCAACGCGUAGGACCCUACCUAUUGGAGGGGGAUAACUAUUGGAAACGAUAGCUAAUACCGCAUACAAGUGGAUGGACCUGCGUUGGAUUAGCUAGUCGGUAGGGUAAUGGCAUACCUAGGCAACGAUACAUAGCCGCCCGGAGAGGGUGAUCGGCCACCCUGGGACUGAGAUACGGCCCAGACUCCUACGGGAGGCAGCAGUGGGGGAUAUUGCACAAUGGGCGAAAGCCUGAUCCAGCCAUGCCGCGUGUGGGAAGAAGGUCUUCGGAUUGUAAAGCACUUUAAGUUGGGAGGCGUUACCAACAGAAUAAGCACCGGCUAACUUCGUGCCAGCAGCCGCGGUAAUAC